CACCUCUAGCAAUGGGCAGAGACUCCUUGAUGGUGGUGGUGGUCUUAUAUCAGUCAGGGGCAGAGCAGAUGUCAAUCCUUUGUCUAUCCUAGCUUGUUGUCUGGCUUGGUGGCCAAAGCUGUCUUAUGCCUAGGUCUCAUAA